GGGGGGGGGGGGGGGGGGGGUGGGGGGGGGGGGGGGGGGGGGGGGGGCGCUGCGUUGGUGGGGUGGUCGGGGGGCGAACGGGUGGGUGACACGUGAGGACCCUGCCCGUGCCUUUGGGAUGACUUCGGGAGACUGUGGCUAAUACCGGAUAGGAGCUCCUGCUGCAUGGUGUGGGUUGGAACUUUUCGGCGGUUGGGGAUGUACUCGCGGCUUCUCAGCUUGUUGGUGGGUGAGUGGCUUACCAAGGCUUUGACGGGUAGCCGGCCUGAGAGGGUGACCGGCCACAUUGGGACUGAGAUACGGCCCAGACUCCUACGGGAGGCAGCAGUGGGGAAUAUUGCACAAUGGGCGGAAGCCUGAUGCAGCAACGCCGCGUGCGGGAUGACGGCCUGCGGGGUGUAAACCGCUUGCGCCUGUGACGAAGCGUGAGUGACGGUAAUGGGUAAAGAAGCACCGGCUAACUACGUG
rnacentral:rRNA from 1 species